CAUAUAAAUAAGCGGAGGAAAAGAAACCAACUGGGAUUCCCUUAGUAACGGCGAGCGAACAGGGAAGAGUCCAGCGCCGAAUUCCACGUUCGUACGGACGUUUGGAAAAUGUGGCGUUUAGGAGGAAGCGUGCCGGAGGUUGGCUCUGCAGCAAGUCCCCCUGACCGGGGCUGUUACCCAGAGCGGGUGCGAGGCCCAUAGCUGCUAGGUCUCCUCCGGAUGCGACCUCUUGGGAGUCGGGUUGCUUGGGAGUGCAACCCUAAUCGGGUGGUAAACUCCACCUAAGACUAAAUACGGCCGUGAGACCGAUAGCAAACAAGUAC
rnacentral:rRNA from 1 species